rnacentral:rRNA from 1 species
AUUGAACGCUGGCGGCAGGCCUAACACAUGCAAGUCGAGCGAGCGGCGGACGGGUGAGUAAGGUAUGGGGAGUGCCCGAUAGAGGGGGAUAACUACUGGAAACGGUGGCUAAUACCGCAUACUAUCGGAUGACCCAUAUGGGAUUAGCUAGUAGGUGGGGUAAAGGCUCACCAAGGCGACGAUCUCUAGCUGGUCUGAGAGGAUGAAACGCCACACUGGUACUGAGACACGGCCCGGACUCCUACGGAGGCAGCAGUGGGGAAUAUUGCACAAUGGGCGCAAGCCUGAUGCAUCCAUGCCGCGUGUAGGAAGAAGGCCUUAGGGUUGUAAAGUACUUUAAGCGGGGAGGCGUUACCCGCAGAAUAGGCACCGGCUAACUCCGUGCCAGCAGCCGCGGUAAUUC